rnacentral:ncRNA from 1 species
UACGGGGUGCUACCGCGUUUGCGGAUGCUGAGAACAGACCCAUGGAACCUGAAACGGGUAAUGCCGACGAAGGGAUUGACAAU